GGGUCGAAUCAAACAUAUCGAUGUGGUCACUAUGCUGCGCAGGAUCCAGCCACCCCUUGGUUUUGGCAAACUGUGCCCCCAUCGUGUGGCCUGCAAGGUAGGGCAGAUCACAUUUUAAUGUUAAAGGUUGAAUAAAUUAAAUUAUAAUAAACGUAUUAACUUCUAAUAUUUAUAUAAUUGAAUGUUUGAUAUAUGUCAGAUAUUGUGCAGUGAAUAUUGACUCUAUUUCAUCUGCUUGCUUGUCUUGUUAGAGGCUGGUUGCUAUGAACGUGCCGCUGCACAGCGACGGGACAGUCACCUUCAAUGCCACCCUGUUUGCGCUGGUCAGAACCUCACUCAAGAUCAAGACCGAGGGUCAGUCACAUACACAGAGUGUAUCAUUCACACAUUAUUAUUUAGUGCAGUGGUGCUUGGGGCCUUUACUCCUAUGUUUUUAAAGGUAUUGUGUGUCUCCACUAGGGCCUGUUGACCAGGACAACGAGGAGCUCAGGGCCAUCAUUAAAAAGAUAUGGAAGCGCACAAAGCCCAAGCUCCUUGAAGAGGUCAUUCCACCCCCUAGAGGGGAAGAGGUGACUUGUGGGAAGUUCUAUGCCAGCUUCCUGAUCCAGGACUACUUUAAAAAGUUCCGCAAGAGGAAGGAGCGGGAGAGGAAGAAGAAGGGAAAAGACAAGAAAGACUCACUCCAGGCAGGGCUCAGGUCACUGCAGGCACUGGCCCCAGAGUUGCAUCUGGCCUUGGCAAUGGAGGGAGAGGAUGAGGAGUGUGUGGAGGGAGAGUUGGAUGAAGAGUUCUUCAAGAAUGACAACGUUUUCGAAGAUCCUGGCACCUCUGCCACAAGUACUCCAUCCACCACUCACAUGCCAGCUGACAUAGAGGAGGGCACCACCACUAUCUUCAUGGAGCCCUUCGUCGAGCCCACAAUAUCCAGCAACGUGGUCACAGAACAGCCAUUGACAGUCAGCGAGAAACCAGCAUCAGCUCUCUCAUCCUUUGAUGUAGUGAUGGAACAGCCCACGAGAUCUGAGGCCAUCCCUCCACCAGAAGACAUACCAGCCCCGCCCCAACCAGCCCCAGCCGCAUCACCACCAAAAGAUCCAUCCCCUCCCCAACCAGCACCAGCCGCAAACCCACCAAAUGCCCCAUCCCAGCCUCAACCAGCCCCAGUUGCAUCCUCACCAAAUGUUGCUUCUCCACCACAGGUGGUUACUCAAUCCCCGCCUCAAAUAGUGUUAGCCCCACCAGAACCAGAGGCACCUCAAAUAGUUUUAGAGGCAGCCCCUGCCCCACCUCAACCAGAGCCAUUGAUGGAGGGAAGAGGAAGUGAAACUUCCACUACACAGCAGGUGUACUACCCACAGUACCCAGUGAGCAUGCCAACAAACAACGGGUGA
rnacentral:lncRNA from 13 species